UACGUAGGGUGCGAGCGUUAAUCGGAAUUACUGGGCGUAAAGCGUGCGCAGGCGGUUUUGUAAGCCGGAUGUGAAAUCCCCGGGCUUAACCUGGGAAUGGCAUUCGGGACUGCAAGGCUCGAGUGCGGCAGAGGAGACUGGAAUUCCUGGUGUAGCAGUGAAAUGCGUAGAUAUCAGGAGGAAUACCGAUGGCGAAGGCAGGUCUCUGGGCUGACACUGACGCUCAUGCACGAAAGCGUGGGGAGCAAACAGG
rnacentral:rRNA from 1 species